GGGUGAAUGAGGUGGACGAGGAGGAGGACUAGGAGGAGGAGGACGAGGAUUCGUGCACAUAUUCGAGGUAUGACCCGAGGGGGUCAGCAGUGGUUAUUGGAGGUGGUCGGAGAUGGUUGCGGGUGAUCCAGGUGGACGACAAGGAGGACGACAACUUGUGCACUUUCUGUGCCCCACCUAGUGAUCCGCUAGUACAUAUCCUCCGACGUGACAUCGCUCCGCU